rnacentral:rRNA from 1 species
UACGUAGGGGUGCGAGCGUUGUCCGGAAUUACUGGGCGUAAAGAGCUCGUAGGUGGUUUGUCGCGUUGUCCGUGAAAACUCACAACUCAAUUGUUGGGCGUGCGGGCGAUACGGGCAGACUGGAGUACUGCAGGGGAGACUGGAAUUCCUGGUGUAGCGGUGGAAUGCGCAGAUAUCAGGAGGAACACCGGUGGCGAAGACGGGUCUCUGGGCAGUAACUGACGCUGAGGAGCGAAAGCGUGGGGAGCGAACAGG